GUACAGACCCCCCCAUCCAAGGUCAAAGUGAUGUGUCUCUUAGAGGCUUUGGGACACUUUUUAAAACGUCUUGGAACUUGUCAAGCUUAACUGAAGGUGAUUUGCGUUAAUUAAUUCAACAGACCCUUUAAUCUUGCAAAUUCUUGACUUGUAAUAUUGUAGCCAAGUUACAGCAAAGGAAAAUGAAUCAGUUAGUGGAAAGGAGCACGCUUUCAGUGUCAGCCGGGACGUGCCCAGGCCUGAAGAGAAAGACCUCUGUGAAGUAGGGCACUAAUGAAUUCGUGCUACCUGCUUCCUCAUCAUUCAUGCUAUGAAUAUUCAUCCGCUUUGUUUGUUUUUGCCAGUAAGCACUGCAUUGAAAGAAAGAAAAAAAGUCGAUGGAUUCCUGAGGUCUUGCAUAGCUCAGAGAAUGGGUACUGGUCCUGGAGAUUCGCUUUCAAUGGAUAUAAAUCUACUUGUGUUUGGAAAUGAACAAAUGUCACUGUCAUCUCUUUAAUGAUUGAUCUGUCUGAGUACAGUUGCUGACUUUACUUCAUUUCUUGAGAGUACCAUUGUCAGCAUUGUAAUAACCAAUUUUAGAGUUAAAAUCUGCAUGGGUGUAGCUAUUGAAUAAUUGGAUUCCUGCCUCCUAGGUGUGACAUUGCCACUUUCAAACUGAGACACAUUUAUAUUUAGAAGCGGCUCUCCUGUUGCUUCUCAGACUCGCUAAGUCCUUGGUUGCAAGCUCUAAGAUCACCAAUCUGACAUUCUUAACGCCUAAAUGUUCACCUAAAAGCAAACAAGUAGUCUCAUAAUUAAAAAUCAUGCUUCUUCCCACUUGAUUCUCUGUUUUUAAAUAAAGGUUUGAGUUGCAAGGUAAGAAUGAUAUACUGCAGAUCGUAGUUUCAGAGUGUCCAAGAGAGUUGGGCAUCCAUAUGUUCUUGUAAAGUUGUCUGUCUAACCCUUCGGUAUAACAGUUUUAGGAGUGAACCCUAGAUGAAUGAGUGAAAGUCAGCAGAUUUAUCCCAUGAGCAAUCCAACAGCAAAAUAGGAAGCAGGAGCAGGGAUCAUUGUUCUUGUGUUUUGAAGAUAUUUCUCUGUCCUAAGUGAUCAUCUUGGGGAUUAGCUCCAAGAUGUACCCAGAGCUCCUGAGCAAUUGUCCCAGUUACAGAUGCAGUAUGGUGCUGCGUCACUGAUUCCGGCAAGUUGUUUUUCAGAACUAUUUCUUGGCUCAGGAACCGAAAUUUAAUGGUAAAAAAAAAGUGGCUUGCCACCAUGUGACUUAUUU
rnacentral:lncRNA from 1 species